UUGUGUCCAUAUCACGUUGAAACUCCAUUUCCCGUACGUUCACCGAAGUUAAGCAACGGCGAGCCUGGUCAGUACCUAGAUGAGGGACCGCUUGGAUACCAGGUGCUGUAAG